GGACACGAGUCCCGCUGCCCAACGUCCCCAUUGGCCAAAGCGCUGUCCCCGGGGCAAUGGGGUGACGCUGAAACGCCUCCAACCCCUUCGCCGUGCCCUCGAGGUGCUCCUGGAGGAGCCGUUCCUUACGCGAGGGCUCUUCUCCAUCCUCCGGUCGUGCUCGGCUCCCACUGCUACCCGUGAGGCUUUCAUUAGGCUGAGCCCACCCAUUCAAUCCUGUAGAGGCGUGCUGCCAGCAGUGCUGUAAUAUCCAUCGAGGGCCACCCAGAGGUUGUCCAAGAAGGAAACGCAACUAUUUCCAACUGAGCUCGGAGUCACGUCAAAGAUUUAAUUGGGAAGUUCAAAGGAAGCGUCGGAGGCUCUUUUGAUCUCUGAGUGAACGCCACGUUGCAUCGGUGCCUGCUGGCCACGGCGGUGACCUCUCGUGUUAAUUAGUGCUUAUCUGAAAUCGAAUUAGCUCACAACCGGGAGAAAGCAGAGUGAAAAUCAGAGGAUAAUCACGGAUUUGUGUGGUUCUCACUUAGAGGUAAGGCAGGUCUCUGGCUGCAGGACUUGGCGUUAAAAUAACUCUGAGAACGUUACAUUUGGGCUUUGCUUUUGUAAUGCUCUCCAUCUGAUGGUGC
ensembl:lncRNA